AGUUAACGCUGGCAUCGUGCAUAACACAUGCAAGUCGAACGGGACUUUGCUUUGUAGUAAUACAAAGUAAAGUUUAGUGGCAGACGGGUGAGUAAUGUAUAAGAAACCUACCUCUGAGUGGGGAAUAACAGUCCGAAAGGAUUGCUAAUACCCCAUAACAUAUCUAGAUGGCAUCAUUUAGAUAUCAAAGAUUUAUCGCUUGGAGACGGUCUUAUAUUCUAUCAGCUAGUUGGUGGGGUAACGGCCUACCAAGGCGACGAUCAGUAGCCGACCUGAGAGGGUGACCGGCCACAUUGGGACUGAGACACGGCCCAAACUCCUACGGGAGGCAGCAGUGGGGAAUAUUGCACAAUGGGGGAAACCCUGAUGCAGCGACGCCGCGUGAGUGAAGAAGUAUUUCGGUAUGUAAAGCUCUAUCAGCAGGGAAGAAAAUGACGGUACCUGACUAAGAAGCCCCGGCUAACUACGUG
rnacentral:rRNA from 1 species